rnacentral:tRNA from 1 species
GAAAAGUUAGUUAAUAAAUAACAUAAAAUUGUCAAUUUUAAAUUACUAUACCCAUUAGUACCUUUUA